GACGAACGCUGGCGGCGUGCUUAACACAUGCAAGUCGAACGGAAAGGCCCUGCUUUUGUGGGGUGCUCGAGUGGCGAACGGGUGAGUAACACGUGAGUAACCUGCCCUUGACUUUGGGAUAACUUCAGGAAACUGGGGCUAAUACCGGAUAGGAGCUCCUGCUGCAUGGUGGGGGUUGGAAAGUUUCGGCGGUUGGGGAUGGACUCGCGGCUUAUCAGCUUGUUGGUGGGGUAGUGGCUUACCAAGGCUUUGACGGGUAGCCGGCCUGAGAGGGUGACCGGCCACAUUGGGACUGAGAUACGGCCCAGACUCCUACGGGAGGCAGCAGUGGGGAAUAUUGCACUAUGGGCGGAAGCCUGAUGCGGCAACGCCGCGUGCGGGAUGACGGGCUUCGGGUUGUAAACCGCUUUCGCCUGUGACGAAGCGUGAGUGACGGUAAUGGGUAAAGAAGCACCGGCUAACUACGUG
rnacentral:rRNA from 1 species